rnacentral:SRP_RNA from 1 species
ACAAAGCAGAGUAAAAAAGCUAUACUUUAACAAUCGUAUCCACAUCGCAGACCUUAGCAGGUGGUGUUGAAGUUUGGGUCUUACGCAAUGGAAAUCCACGAAUCGUGUCAGGGCAGGAAUGCAGCAGCACUAAGAGGAAACUUCCAUGUGCCGUAAGGGUGCCUGGCGGAGCUGACCACUAAGGUAACGGGUGUGGAUACGUUUUUGU